AACGAACGCUGGCGGCAGGCUUAACACAUGCAAGUCGAGCGCCCCGCAAGGGGAGCGGCAGACGGGUGAGUAACGCGUGGGAAUCUACCCAUCCCUACGGAAUAGCUCCGGGAAACUGGAAUUAAUACCGUAUACGCCCUACGGGGGAAAGAUUUAUCGGGGAUGGAUGAGCCCGCGUUGGAUUAGCUAGUUGGUGGGGUAAAGGCCUACCAAGACGACGAUCCAUAGCUGGUCUGAGAGGAUGAUCAGCCAAAUUGGGACUGAGACACGGCCCAAACUCCUGCGGGAGGCAGCAGUGGGGAAUAUUGGACAAUGGGGGCAACCCUGAUCCAGCCAUGCCGCGUGAGUGAUGAAGGCCUUAGGGUUGUAAAGCUCUUUCACCGGGGAAGAUAAUGACGGUAUCCGGAGAAGAAGCCCCGGCUAACUUCGUGCCAGCCGCCGCGGUAAAAC
rnacentral:rRNA from 1 species